GUCUAUAGCCGUACCACCCUGAACGUGUCCGAUCUCAUCUGAUCUCCGAAGCUAAGCAGGGUCGGUCCUGGUUAGUACUUGGAUGGGAGAAGUACUUGGCAGUGAUC
rnacentral:rRNA from 1 species